rnacentral:rRNA from 1 species
GUGCAGGUGGCGGGUGCUAUACAUGCAAGUCGAACGCUUCUUUUUCCACCGGAGCUUGCUCCACCGGAAAAAGAGGAGUGGCGAACGGGUGAGUAACACGUGGGUAACCUGCCCAUCAGAAGGGGAUAACACUUGGAAACAGGUGCUAAUACCGUAUAACAAUCAAAACCGCAUGGUUUUGAUUUGAAAGGCGCUUUCGGGUGUCGCUGAUGGAUGGACCCGCGGUGCAUUAGCUAGUUGGUGAGGUAACGGCUCACCAAGGCCACGAUGCAUAGCCGACCUGAGAGGGUGAUCGGCCACAUUGGGACUGAGACACGGCCCAAACUCCUACGGGAGGCAGCAGUAGGGAAUCUUCGGCAAUGGACGAAAGUCUGACCGAGCAACGCCGCGUGAGUGAAGAAGGUUUUCGGAUCGUAAAACUCUGUUGUUAGAGAAGAACAAGGAUGAGAGUAACUGUUCAUCCCUUGACGGUAUCUAACCAGAAAGCCACGGCUAACUACGUGCCAGCAGCCGCGGUAAUACGUAGGUGGCAAGCGUUGUCCGGAUUUAUUGGGCGUAAAGCGAGCGCAGGCGGUUUCUUAAGUCUGAUGUGAAAGCCCCCGGCUCAACCGGGGAGGGUCAUUGGAAACUGGGAGACUUGAGUGCAGAAGAGGAGAGUGGAAUUCCAUGUGUAGCGGUGAAAUGCGUAGAUAUAUGGAGGAACACCAGUGGCGAAGGCGGCUCUCUGGUCUGUAACUGACGCUGAGGCUCGAAAGCGUGGGGAGCAAACAGGAUUAGAUACCCUGGU